rnacentral:rRNA from 1 species
UACGUAGGGCGCAAGCGUUGUCCGGAAUUAUUGGGCGUAAAGAGCUCGUAGGUGGUUUGUCGCGUCUGUUGUGAAAGCCCGGGGCUUAACUCCGGGUUUGCAGUGGAUACGGGCAGGCUAGAGGCAGGUAGGGGAGAACGGAAUUCCCGGUGUAGCGGUGAAAUGCGUAGAGAUCAUGAGGAAGACCAGUGGCGAAGGCGGGUCUGCUGGACAGUUCCUGACACUGAGAGCACGAAGGCCAGGGGAGCAAACGGG